rnacentral:rRNA from 1 species
UUAAGCGACUAAGCGUACACGGUGGAUGCCCUGGCAGUCAGAGGCGAUGAAGGACGUGCUAAUCUGCGAUAAGCGUCGGUAAGGUGAUAUGAACCGUUAUAACCGGCGAUUUCCGAAUGGGGAAACCCAGUGUGUUUCGACACACUAUCAUUAACUGAAUCCAUAGGUUAAUGAGGCGAACCGGGGGAACUGAAACAUCUAAGUACCCCGAGGAAAAGAAAUCAACCGAGAUUCCCCCAGUAGCGGCGAGCGAACGGGGAGCAGCCCAGAGCCUGAAUCAGUGUGUGUGUUAGUGGAAGCGUCUGGAAAGGCGCGCGAUACAGGGUGACAGCCCCGUACACAAAAAUGCACAUGCUGUGAGCUCGAUGAGUAGGGCGGGACACGUGGUAUCCUGUCUGAAUAUGGGGGGACCAUCCUCCAAGGCUAAAUACUCCUGACUGACCGAUAGUGAACCAGUACCGUGAGGGAAAGGCGAAAAGAACCCCGGCGAGGGGAGUGAAAAAGAACCUGAAACCGUGUACGUACAAGCAGUGGGAGCACGCUUAGGCGUGUGACUGCGUACCUUUUGUAUAAUGGGUCAGCGACUUAUAUUCUGUAGCAAGGUUAACCGAAUAGGGGAGCCGAAGGGAAACCGAGUCUUAACUGGGCGUUAAGUUGCAGGGUAUAGACCCGAAACCCGGUGAUCUAGCCAUGGGCAGGUUGAAGGUUGGGUAACACUAACUGGAGGACCGAACCGACUAAUGUUGAAAAAUUAGCGGAUGACUUGUGGCUGGGGGUGAAAGGCCAAUCAAACCGGGAGAUAGCUGGUUCUCCCCGAAAGCUAUUUAGGUAGCGCCUCGUGAAUUCAUCUCCGGGGGUAGAGCACUGUUUCGGCAAGGGGGUCAUCCCGACUUACCAACCCGAUGCAAACUGCGAAUACCGGAGAAUGUUAUCACGGGAGACACACGGCGGGUGCUAACGUCCGUCGUGAAGAGGGAAACAACCCAGACCGCCAGCUAAGGUCCCAAAGUCAUGGUUAAGUGGGAAACGAUGUGGGAAGGCCCAGACAGCCAGGAUGUUGGCUUAGAAGCAGCCAUCAUUUAAAGAAAGCGUAAUAGCUCACUGGUCGAGUCGGCCUGCGCGGAAGAUGUAACGGGGCUAAACCAUGCACCGAAGCUGCGGCAGCGACNAUGCUGGAGGUAUCAGAAGUGCGAAUGCUGACAUAAGUAACGAUAAAGCGGGUGAAAAGCCCGCUCGCCGGAAGACCAAGGGUUCCUGUCCAACGUUAAUCGGGGCAGGGUGAGUCGACCCCUAAGGCGAGGCCGAAAGGCGUAGUCGAUGGGAAACAGGUUAAUAUUCCUGUACUUGGUGUUACUGCGAAGGGGGGACGGAGAAGGCUAUGUUGGCCGGGCGACGGUUGUCCCGGUUUAAGCGUGUAGGCUGGUUUUCCAGGCAAAUCCGGAAAAUCAAGGCUGAGGCGUGAUGACGAGGCACUACGGUGCUGAAGCAACAAAUGCCCUGCUUCCAGGAAAAGCCUCUAAGCAUCAGGUAACAUCAAAUCGUACCCCAAACCGACACAGGUGGUCAGGUAGAGAAUACCAAGGCGCUUGAGAGAACUCGGGUGAAGGAACUAGGCAAAAUGGUGCCGUAACUUCGGGAGAAGGCACGCUGAUAUGUAGGUGAAGUCCCUCGCGGAUGGAGCUGAAAUCAGUCGAAGAUACCAGCUGGCUGCAACUGUUUAUUAAAAACACAGCACUGUGCAAACACGAAAGUGGACGUAUACGGUGUGACGCCUGCCCGGUGCCGGAAGGUUAAUUGAUGGGGUCAGCGCAAGCGAAGCUCUUGAUCGAAGCCCCGGUAAACGGCGGCCGUAACUAUAACGGUCCUAAGGUAGCGAAAUUCCUUGUCGGGUAAGUUCCGACCUGCACGAAUGGCGUAAUGAUGGCCAGGCUGUCUCCACCCGAGACUCAGUGAAAUUGAACUCGCUGUGAAGAUGCAGUGUACCCGCGGCAAGACGGAAAGACCCCGUGAACCUUUACUAUAGCUUGACACUGAACAUUGAGCCUUGAUGUGUAGGAUAGGUGGGAGGCUUUGAAGUGUGGACGCCAGUCUGCAUGGAGCCGGCCUUGAAAUACCACCCUUUAAUGUUUGAUGUUCUAACGUUGACCCGUGAUCCGGGUUGCGGACAGUGUCUGGUGGGUAGUUUGACUGGGGCGGUCUCCUCCUAAAGAGUAACGGAGGAGCACGAAGGUUGGCUAAUCCUGGUCGGACAUCAGGAGGUUAGUGCAAUGGCAUAAGCCAGCUUGACUGCGAGCGUGACGGCGCGAGCAGGUGCGAAAGCAGGUCAUAGUGAUCCGGUGGUUCUGAAUGGAAGGGCCAUCGCUCAACGGAUAAAAGGUACUCCGGGGAUAACAGGCUGAUACCGCCCAAGAGUUCAUAUCGACGGCGGUGUUUGGCACCUCGAUGUCGGCUCAUCACAUCCUGGGGCUGAAGUAGGUCCCAAGGGUAUGGCUGUUCGCCAUUUAAAGUGGUACGCGAGCUGGGUUUAGAACGUCGUGAGACAGUUCGGUCCCUAUCUGCCGUGGGCGCUGGAGAACUGAGGGGGGCUGCUCCUAGUACGAGAGGACCGGAGUGGACGCAUCACUGGUGUUCGGGUUGUCAUGCCAAUGGCACUGCCCGGUAGCUAAAUGCGGAAGAGAUAAGUGCUGAAAGCAUCUAAGCACGAAACUUGCCCCGAGAUGAGUUCUCCCUGACUCCUUGAGAGUCCUGAAGGAACGUUGAAGACGACGACGUUGAUAGGCCGGGUGUGUAAGCGCAGCGAUGCGUUGAGCUAACCGGUACUAAUGAACCGUGAGGCUUAACCUU